rnacentral:rRNA from 1 species
CGCCUGUAGACAAUGAAAUUACAGGUACAUCCUGCCCGGUGACUAUUUAAACGGCUGCGGUAUCCUGACCGUGCAAAGGUAGCAUAAUCAUUUGCCCCCUAAUUAGGGGCUAGCAUGAAUGGACAAACGAGAUUACCCCUGUCUCCUCUAAACCUCUAAAAAUUAAUCUACAGGUGAAGAAGCCUGUAUAAAUGUAAAAGACAAGAAGACCCUGUCGAGCUUUAAUUAUAUAUGAACUAAUGUAACCCAAAUACUCUCUCUCAUAUAUAAUAUUUGUUGGGGCGACAACGGAAAACACGAAACCUCCGUAUAGUUACAAGACUCUAAGUCUCUCCAAAGAUCCCCCAAAGGACAACCAGCACCAGCUACCGCAGGGAUAACAGACUAAUCCUCUCUAAGAGCCCAAAUCUACGAGAGGGCUUGGCACCUCGAUGUUGGCUUAGGAAUACACUUAAAUGCAGAAGUUUAAGAUGCAGGUUUGUUCAACCUUUAAUUUCCU